rnacentral:rRNA from 1 species
AGUGAACGCUGGCGGUAGGCCUAACACAUGCAAGUCGAACGGCAGCACAGUAAGAGCUUGCUCUUACGGGUGGCGAGUGGCGGACGGGUGAGGAAUACAUCGGAAUCUACUUUUUCGUGGGGGAUAACGUAGGGAAACUUACGCUAAUACCGCAUACGACCUACGGGUGAAAGCAGGGGAUCUUCGGACCUUGCGCGAUUGAAUGAGCCGAUGUCGGAUUAGCUAGUUGGCGGGGUAAAGGCCCACCAAGGCGACGAUCCGUAGCUGGUCUGAGAGGAUGAUCAGCCCCACUGGAACUGAGACACGGUCCAGACUCCUACGGGAGGCAGCAGUGGGGAAUAUUGGACAAUGGGCGCAAGCCUGAUCCAGCCAUACCGCGUGAGUGAAGAAGGCCUUCGGGUUGUAAAGCCCUUUUGUUGGGAAAGAAAAGCAGCAGGUUAAUACCCCGCUGUUCUGACGGUACCCAAAGAAUAAGCACCGGCUAACUUCGUG